CCCACACACAAAACAAAAAGCUAGCAAGUCCUUUCAUAACCUAUUCACAUGUGUAAGCUUUUGGCAAAAAUAAUGGAAGAUUAGGAAUCGAGUCUGCUAUUCCUCAUAAGAUUCUGGAUCACUAAAAAACCUUGAGAUUAUUGAAAAAGGAGAAAUGGAAACAUUGAUUGUUGAAGCUCCCCUCAGCCUGGACAACUUGUUGCUUGAGGAAGCCACCAGAUUUCCUGUCUGUGGUGCUGAAUGAUCCAGCUGGCUGCUAUCUCCUGCAAAUCUUCAUGCUGCUGCGGGCUGGGUGCCAGGGAUUGUGGACACCUCCCAGAGAUCUUUGGCUGUGGUGUGGUAUAGAAAUAAAGAA